UCGGAUAUGGUGUAAUGGCUAACAUUGCCGCCUCUCAUUGUUGAGAGGUAACAGUUGUUCGCGGCAGCUCGGGGUUCGAUUCCCCGUAUCCGAA